rnacentral:rRNA from 1 species
UUGAUGUUAGUUGCCAGCAGGUUAAGCUGGGCACUCUAACGUGACUGCCGGUGACAAACCGGAGGAAGGUGGGGAUGACGUCAAAUCAUCAUGCCCCUUAUGACCUGGGCUACACACGUACUACAAUGGCCGGUACAACGGGGAGCGAAACCGCGAGGUGGAGCAAAUCCUUAGAAGCCGGUCUCAGUUCGGAUUGCAGGCUGCAACUCGCCUGCAUGAAGUCGGAAUUGCUAGUAAUCGCGGAUCAGCAUGCCGCGGUGAAUACGUUCCCGGGUCUUGUACACACCGCCCGUCACACCACGAGAGUUUACAACACCCGAAGCCGGUGGGGUAACC